rnacentral:rRNA from 1 species
GACGAACGCUGGCGGCGUGCUUAACACAUGCAAGUCGAGCGGUAAGGCCCUUUCGGGGGUACACGAGCGGCGAACGGGUGAGUAACACGUGGGUGACCUGCCCUCAGCUCUGGGAUAAGCCUGGGAAACCGGGUCUAAUACUGGAUAUGACUCCAUGACGCAUGUUGUGGGGUGGAAAGCCUUGUGCGGCUGAGGAUGGGCCCGCGGCCUAUCAGCUUGUUGGUGGGGGUGANGGCCUACCAAGGCGACGACGGGUAGCCGGCCUGAGAGGGCGACCGGCCACACUGGGACUGAGACACGGCCCAGACUCCUACGGGAGGCAGCAGUGGGGAAUCUUGGACAAUGGGCGCAAGCCUGACGCAGCGACGCCGCGUGAGGGAUGACGGCCU